GUCCCUGCCCAAAACUUAGUACAAACAUUUCCCUAAUGUCGAUAGAUUCAGAGGUCCCUGCCCAAAACUUAGUACAAACAUUUCCUUAAUGUCGAUAGAUUCAGAGUAAGUUUGUUUCUAUAAUUUGUUUGCACCCUUUAAUUGAUGAGAGUUUGUACUACUUUCUUACUAUAUAAAAGUAAAUGGUUAAUAUAGAAAUGGCCUAGCCAUAAUUUUGAACUCUAUUGAUAUGGGCUGGACUAAAACUAGUUAAACAUAUGUGGGCGGUGUUAGAUUCAUCCAGC
rnacentral:lncRNA from 1 species